GAGCGGUUACAAGCAAGCUUUGAUCCCCGCUAGCUGCAAACCACUACUCACACACAAGGCAUGCAAAUUAGGCCCCAAUUAAUAGCGCUUAUUAACAUCUCCUGGAACCAAGCAGGAGAAACUGGGAGGGUUUGCUGGGGAGGAAAGCAGCAUUUAAGCACCACAUUGAAAAGGCAUGUCUGGUCAGGAGAAAAAUCCCUGGGCUUGCCUUGCCGGGAGACCUUGGACCCACCACCUGGAGCACUUUGUCAUCCUGGGAGCAAGCACCUGGAGCUGUCCUGAACUAAGUACUAGUGCACAGAGGCCGUGCUGCUGCUGCCAGGAAACACAUGGGUUUCGUCAUCUCCAUCUCAGCAGCGUCUCCUCCACAAGCUUAUUUUCGAUCAGCUAGCGGGCAUCAGUACUCUCGCAGCUAAGACUUUUGCGUGUGAGUGAAUAGGACCAGCCUGGAACUCGUAACCCUCCUCCAAGUGCUGAGAUCACACAGGUCUUACUACGUAACUCAGGCUGGCCCCGCCUUCACCGUCUGCUUAUCUCAGCCUCCCAAGUACUGGGAUCCAGGCAUGCAUACACCACCAUACAUGGCUUAUCUUUACUUCCUCGUGUCCCAGUGCAGAGUGUGGUACCCCUUUGCCAUUGCAGGAAUGAACAAUGACCAAAGAGAAGGCACCAUUGCCCUAGGACUGUGUGAUGUGUUACAUGUGCAAUGGCCACCAGAGGGCGACAGAAGAACAGUGUCCAGUGAAUUCCAGCCCUCCAGAAGAACUGUGGGCUGUAGAUUUCAAGAUUAUUUUAGGGCUGGCAGGGAACUCCAGUGGUCACGGAGGCCUCUGUUGGAAACAAGGAUUUUAAGCAAAUCCUCCCAGGGAAGCAUGGUGAUAUUUAGAGUUUUGAAAAGUUGAAACAUUUGGAUAUUUUGAACUUGGAAAGUUCAGAUUCUGCUUCCAGCUCUAACGUCACUCAGCAUGUCUGAUUCUAGAUAAGAUUCUGGAUUUGGGAAGCGUUAGUUUGAAAAUCUGACAAAUGAUUGGUAUGAUGCCCUUUGUCUCUCAGGAGUGCUUUAAGAACCAUAGACAGUAAAGCAAAUAAACAACCAGAAAAUGUAAAAUGCCGAGGCAACGGAAAAAGUAUAAUCUGAAUUAGAGAGCUGAAUGGCAGUAACUCCCAUCUCCUUGUUCUAACAUGUGAAUUGAAGCCAGUGAAUCCCUGCUGGUCAGUGGGUAUGGAUGUGUGAUGGGACAUUAAGCCGGGGAGGCUUGAGACAGUCUUAACCAUUCCGCUCUCGCCUGGUCAUCUCAGGUAGACUGCCUGGCCAGCUCAUCUGCCCGCCCACAGCGUCUCCUCUCCCUGGAAACUUCACAGGUGAUAUUGCAACCGCCAAGAGCCAAGUUCAUAUCAACACUCUUAGUGUCUAGUCGCAUCCCUGUGUUUUGUUUUAAUGAACAAAUAUUGGAAAACAUUUCGGAUAUACUUGUAUUAUACGCAUAUUGAACCUACGCAAACUGGACUGUGCAGUCUCAGCAAGAACAACAAAGAAACAAACUCCUCAAACCCUCGCAUGUGGCAAACAAAACUAAAUCCACAUUCAUUUGAUAGCAUUGCUGAUUAGAGGCAAUCAAAGGAUGCUUAGGCUGAAUCUGGAUGUGAUGCUCUCCUCGGUGGGCCUCAAAUCUUACAAAAGCCUCCAAAAUACAGUAUGUUUUCCUGCU